rnacentral:rRNA from 1 species
UACAGAGGUCCCAAGCGUUGUUCGGAUUCACUGGGCGUAAAGGGUGCGUAGGUGGCGAGGUAAGUCGGAUGUGAAAGCUCGGAGCUCAACUCCGAAAUGGCAUUGGAAACUACCUUGCUCGAGGGUUGGAGGGGGGACUGGAAUUUACGGUGUAGCAGUGAAAUGCGUAGAUAUCGUAAGGAAGACCAGUGGCGAAGGCGAGUCUCUGGACAGCAACUGACGCUGAGGCACGAAGGCCAGGGGAGCAAACGGG